rnacentral:rRNA from 1 species
AUUGAACGCUGGCGGCAGGCCUAACACAUGCAAGUCGAGCGAGCGGCGGACGGGUGAGUAAUGUCUGGGAGACUGCCUGAGGGAGGGGGAUAACUACUGGAAACAGUAGCUAAUACCGCAUACACCCAGAGGUGCCCAGAUGGGAUUAGCUAGUAGGUGGGGUACCGGCUCACCUAGGCGACGAUCCCUAGCUGGUCUGAGAGGAUGACCAGCCACACUGGAACUGAGACACGGUCCAGACUCCUACGGGAGGCAGCAGUGGGGAAUAUUGCACAAUGGGCGCAAGCCUGAUGCAGCCAUGCCGCGUGUGUGAAGAAGGCCUUCGGGUUGUAAAGCACUUUCAGCGGGGAGGCGUUACCCGCAGAAGAAGCACCGGCUAACUCCGUGCCAGAAGCCGCGGUAAUUC